rnacentral:rRNA from 1 species
GACAGAGGCCUCGAGCGUUAGGCGGAAUCACUGGGCUUAAAGCGCGUGUAGGCGGAUCGUUAAGUGCCUUGUGAAAUCCUGCGGCUCAACCGCAGAACCGCUGGGCAUACUGGCGGUCUUGGGCCACUCAGGGGUCACUGGAACAAGCGGUGGAGCGGUGAAAUGCGUAGAUAUCGCUUGGAACGCCAAAGGCGAAGACAGGUGACUGGGGGUGUGCCGACGCUGAGACGCGAAAGCCAGGGGAGCAAACGGG